rnacentral:tRNA from 1 species
GGUGGGAUUCCCGAGUGGCCAAAGGGAUCAGACUGUAAAUCUGACGCGCAAGCUUCGGUGGUUCGAAUCCACCUCCCACCACCA